CCAAUGAAUAUCCUAUAUCCAAGAUAUCAGUAAAUCGUGGAAUAUACUUGACUAAUCAAAGAUACGUCCCGUAUAAAUAUGUCAGGAUAAGAUUAAGGUUUUGAAAUUCAAAUUCAAUUUGAUUUGUUACAGUAUGAGAUGGGGUUCUAGGUCUGCUGUAAAGAGCUGGAUAUCACCCUGCUUGUUACAUAACUUGCAGGCUAAAGGGUUGCAGGGAGGGAGCUAUGUAAGAAUACAUACAAGCAGCAAACUGAUUGAUCCUUCACCAGAAACAAUAUUUGACAUUUUGGGGGUUAGACAAAAUUUGGGAAACUCUUGGUUUUGUGUUCAUUUUCUUAUUCAGAAUACUUUCUUUUGUUUCAGAAAGUUGUGGUCGAAAAGGAUAGUCGCACAGAUUCUGUGCUUUUCCUUGAUUGGUCUAUCUAACAAUGUUAUCAGUUGAUCCAAUUCUAUUCCUAAGUUUCCUGUAACUCAUACAUGGUAGAUGAUUAUACGGGUAACAAAGAGUAAUGCAUAAUCAUCUACCAUGUAUGAGUUAUAGAACAAAGAGUAAUGUAUACAGGUCCAUUUUAUCGUCGGCUGAAUUGAAUGUUACAUACUAGGAUGGCAAAAUUCUCAUGUGUAUUAAUGGGUGAAUGGCUUAGAUUUUGAGUGAUUUUUUCUGUGUAUGAAUUCUAACUGUUGGGUCUCUAUGCGAUUCAUGUUUCCAGUCAAUAAUUGUUCUGCCAAUAUUAGAGGUACUGGAUAGUUAUUUCUAUUGUGAUUUUGAUUCUCGAUGAGGAAGCAAUUUAUGGAGACUGAUUACGUUUGUUUGUCAUAUACACCUCUUUCCCUACAGGUCAUAAUGACGUUGUUAUUACCUUGCAUUCAGCCUGAUGGCACAAAAUUGGCUACUGGAUCUGGUGAUACUUUGGUGCAUUAUGGGAUCUCACUACUCGGACCCUAUUGCACACCUGUCUAAUGGUCGGGGGAGCUACAUCUCUGGAAGCUGGGGUUUACACAACUAGAGAAGGUGCGGGGAUAUGCUGAUGGAGUUCUCGGAAAACCAAUGACGGACCUACAGCUGGGCUAAAGGGGACUUUAGCCCGGGUAGGCUUCCCAGUCCACAAGCCAAUUUUUUUCUUUUUUUUGCUCGACCAAGGCUUCUAUCCCGGGUCUUAAAAGGAAAUUUAUCUUUCCUGGAUCCGUCCCUGCGGAAAACCAUCCUUGAUCAGAGAGUCCUCGAGAGGAAAGUACCCCUGGUGUCGCCCAUAAUUUCAUAGCUUUAUAAAUCUUGCAAGGUAGCAUACAAUGAUCAAAUUUAGUCGGUAGAGCUCGUACUGGUCAGUACUGUAAAACGAUGGCUCACCACAACUCCUGGUGCACCCACAACCCACUGGUCCCAACUCCAUUGUGUUUUUCUCAGCUAAUAUAUGUCAUGGCUGGACGAGAUUACAGGAAGUCUUAGUAUGGUUGUUCAAAAUGCACAGAGUUACACCGUGUACUAACUAUGUCAGGUGGUUCGUAGGGAGUUGUAGGAAUUCCUUCUUUUAUCCUACUUCUGGGAAAGUUCUUCAUGUAGACGUUUUCUCACAGCGGCGCUACCUCCACUUUCUCGAGUACUAUAAUCUAACUGGUAAGGCGUUAAUGAGAUCUUUGCUUUCAGUUUCAUAUCUGUCUUAGCAACUUUCGUGCUAGAUCUUUGUAAUAUGUGAAGUGAACUGGUAUAAGUCGGUUGUAUUUAGUAUAAGCUGAAUAAUGAUUGAUAUGGAAAACAUGAAAUGGCUGUAUAAGUGACAAGCUUAUUAGAAAAACUGUAAGUGUUGGGUAAGUUCUCUUGUUUGGUAAGUCGUAAAAAUGCCAAUGUUAAUGUGUAAGUUCUCACUUGUAAUGUGCCACUUUUAA